AUGUACUCGUCGCAGUCGCUGAGCCGCGUCAACAACAUCCGUACCUCGCUCAUCAACACGCAGAAGGGCAACCAGUCCGCCGCCGCCUACUUCGCCACCAUGCGUGGUCUCGCGGAUGAGCUAGCAGCGGCCGGCAAACCCAUCCAGGACGACGAGCUGAUCUCGUACAUCCUUCACGGGCUGGACCAGAAGUACCAGCCCCUCGUCUCUGCCCUCGACGCCUGUGUCAGCCUUGCCUCCCUCGACGAGAUCUUCUCCAUGCUCAGCAACUUCGACCAUCGCAUGGUGCACUUCCAGAACUCCGGCGGC
rnacentral:rRNA from 1 species